AUUGAACGCUGGCGGCAAGCCUAACACAUGCAAGUCGAACGAGUGGCGGAAGGGUGGGUAAUGUCUGGGAACCUGCCUGAUGGAGGGGGAUAACUAAUGGAAACGGUAGCUAAUACCGCAUACCAUCAGAUGUGCCCAGAUGGGUUUAGCUAUGAGGUGGGGUAACGGCUCACCUAGGCGACUAUCCCGAGCUGGUCUGAGAGGAUGACUAGCCACACUGGAACUGAGACACGGUCCAGACUCCUACGGGAGCAAGCAGUGGGGAAUAUUGCACAAUGGGCGCAAGCCUGAUGCAGCCAGGCCGCGUGUAUGAAGAAGGCCUUCGGGUUGUAAAGUACUUUCAGCGGGGAGGCGUUACCCGCAGAAGAAGCACCGGCUAACUCCGUGCCAGCCGCCGCGGUAAUAC
rnacentral:rRNA from 1 species